rnacentral:rRNA from 1 species
GACGAACGCUGGCGGCGUGCUUAACACAUGCAAGUCGAACGGAAAGGCCCUUCGGGGUACUCGAGUGGCGAACGGGUGAGUAACACGUGGGUGAUCUGCCCUGCACUUUGGGAUAAGCCUGGGAAACUGGGACUAAUACCGAAUAGGACCACGCGCUUCAUGGUGUGUGGUGGAAAGCUUUUGCGGUGUGGGAUGGGCCCGCGGCCUAUCAGCUUGUUGGUGGGGUAAUGGCAUACCAAGGCGACGACGGGUAGCCGGCCUGAGAGGGUGACCGGCCACACUGGGACUGAGAUACGGCCCAGACUCCUACGGGAGGCAGCAGUGGGGAAUAUUGCACAAUGGGCGCAAGCCUGAUGCAGCGACGCCGCGUGUGGGAUGACGGCCUUCGGGUUGUAAACCUCUUUCAAUAGGGACGAAGCGCAAGUGACGGUACCUAUAGAAGAAGCACGGGCUAACUACGUG